UAGGGAAUCUUCGGCAAUGGGGGCAACCCUGACCGAGCAACGCCGCGUGAGUGAAGAAGGUUUUCGGAUCGUAAAGCUCUGUUGUAAGUCAAGAACGAGUGUGAGAGUGGAAAGUUCACACUGUGACGGUAGCUUACCAGAAAGGGACGGCUAACUACGUGCCAGCAGCCGCGGUAAUACGUAGGUCCCGAGCGUUGUCCGGAUUUAUUGGGCGUAAAGCGAGCGCAGGCGGUUUGAUAAGUCUGAAGUUAAAGGCUGUGGCUCAACCAUAGUUCGCUUUGGAAACUGUCAAACUUGAGUGCAGAAGGGGAGAGUGGAAUUCCAUGUGUAGCGGUGAAAUGCGUAGAUAUAUGGAGGAACACCGGUGGCGAAAGCGGCUCUCUGGCUUGUAACUGACGCUGAGGCUCGAAAGCGUGGGGAGCAAACAGGAUUAGAUACCCUGGUAGUCCACGCCGUAAACGAUGAGUGCUAGGUGUUAGACCCUUUCCGGGGUUUAGUGCCGUAGCUAACGCAUUAAGCACUCCGCCUGGGGAGUACGACCGCAAGGUUG
rnacentral:rRNA from 1 species